rnacentral:rRNA from 1 species
GAUGAACGCUGGCGGCGUGCCUAAUACAUGCAAGUCGAGCGAACGGACGAGAAGCUUGCUUUUCUGAUGUUAGCGGCGGACGGGUGAGUAACACGUGGAUAACCUACCUAUAAGACUGGGAUAACUUCGGGAAACCGGAGCUAAUACCGGAUAAUAUUUUGAACCGCAUGGUUCAAAAGUGAAAGACGGUCUUGCUGUCACUUAUAGAUGGAUCCGCGCUGCAUUAGCUAGUUGGUAAGGUAACGGCUUACCAAGGCAACGAUGCAUAGCCGACCUGAGAGGGUCAUAAGCCAGAUCGUAACUGAAACAGGGGCCAGACUGCAACGGAUGGGAGCAGUAGGGAAUCUUCCGCAAUGAGCGAAAGCCUGACGGAGCAACGCUGCGUGAGUGAUGAAGGUCUUCGGAUCGUAAAACUCUGUUAUUAGGGGAGAACAUAUGUGUAAGUAACUGGGCACAUAUUGACGGUACCUAAUCAGAAAGCCACGGCUAACUACGUG